rnacentral:lncRNA from 1 species
AAGUAGAUUCAAACUUGGAGCCUAAAAAUAUCUCAUCCCCAAUUUUUAGGGUCCUGGCGGUACCACUGCCUAUAGCAUUGACACCGGGUGGUACCAUCGCUUGAUACUGCCAUUGGGUGGUACCACUGCCCAGUCUGGCGAUACCACCACUUGACACAGUCUUGGAGACUGUGCCAUUUGUUGGGUCAUUAUUUGGGCCUUUCAUUUGGCCUACCAC